ACGACAGAGACGAAGAGAGGCGGCCGAAUCCUAACGUCCGAAGAGGCAUGAUGGGGAAAUAUGUGGACCUCGAGAAAGGCUGCGCCGCCGUGGAGCCGGAAGAGUCUUGGCCUGCCAGCGACGACUACAUCCCUGGGCCUGGCUGCGUCUUCGGGGUGCUGUUUGGAUGCUUCUCGCUCAUGUACGUCGUCUUCAUCCUCGUGGCCUAUGCCCGUGGCCGGCGCUGGGCAUGGCCGCCGUGUCGGCGGUGCUGGAUUACGUAGUUGUGUUGAGCGCCCGCGAGGGGUUCAGGAAUGAAGAAGCCAUGGUGGCACAGUCCGUACGCCGUAAGUACGCCCCUCCGCCGCCGACGUGUAACUGCUACCAUGCUGCCAUGGCAAGAGAGGGGUUGGGAGGGAGGAGGACGGGGCGUCCGUUCUUGGCUGUUAACACCUCUAUUACUCAGGCCCACCAGCAGCCCAAAACAACCGCAGGCCAAGACGAGACGACCAGCAACCGUACGCGCAAGCUCAACCCCUGCUUCAACGGCUAUAUUGAUUGGGAGAACUGAUGGCGUCAGUGUAAGUAUCAAGGAUGCCGAACAAAAUGACACUGAACGAUCGAUCACGCAUUUGGCCACGCCUACCUAGCUACUUCCCAUCUAGGCUCUAUUCGUUUUCCUCUUUAGCAUACUUAUGCUUGUAAUUUGCUACCCUGGAUCAUGUGUAUCAAGCAGUAUA